AUGCCCACAGGAGAAAAGAUGCUGUAGGGGAUGUAUGGGAUGCUGUGUGGGGAUAACCAGGGACUGAGGACAGGAAUACAGAAAAAACCCUAGAGGAGAUAGUUUAUUUAGUCAUCGUUCAUUCAUUCAGUGAACAUUUACUGAGCACCUGGGUUCCGGGUGCUGACGUAGACAUUGGAGAUUUAUGUAUGAGAUCCAGUCACAGGGACCCUGAUGCCAAAGUACAUAUAUUCUAGAGAAAAAGGAAAAACACACAGCCAAGAGUGUAUACAACUGCUUUGAUUAAGGUAUGUGCAGGAUAAUGUAGAGGUUAGAAAGAGGGGAACUUAACCCACCUGGUGGGGGCAAAGGAAGGGAGGAAGAUAUCAGGGGGCCUUCCUACAAGAGGAAACAACUGAAUUAAUCCCUCAAAUGUAACAAAGUAGGAGCCUGAGUCAGUUAACAGUUCAGUCACUUAGUCGUGUCCCGCUCUUUGCGACCCCAUAGAGUGCAGCACGACAGGCUUCCUUGUCCAUCACCAACUUCUGAAGUUUACUCAAACCCAUGUCCAUUGAGUCAGUGAUGUCAUUCAACCAUCUCAUCUUCUGUCAUCCCCUUCUCCUCCCACCUUCAAUCUUUCCCAGCAUCAGGGUCUUUUCAAAUGAGUCAGUUCCUCGAAUUAGGUGGCCAAAGUAUUGGCCUUUCAGCCACAUCAUCAGUUCUUCCAAUGAAUAUUCAGGACUGAUCUCCUUUAGAAUGGACUGGUUGAAUCUCCUUGCAGUCCAAGGGACUCUCAAGAGUCUUCUCAACACCACAGUUCAAAAGCAUCAAUUCUUUAGCGCUCAGCUUUGUUUAUAGUCCAACUCUCACAUUCACAUGACUACUGGAAAAACCAUAGCCUUGACUAGAUGGACCUUUGUGGACAAAGUAAUGUCUCUGCUUCUUAAUAUGCUGUCUAGGUUGGUCAUAAUUUUCCUUUCUAGGAGUAAGUGUCUUUUAAUUCACAGCUGCAGUCACCAUCUGCAGUGAUUUUGAAGACCAAAAAAGUAAAAUCUGCCACUCUUUCCCCAUCUAUUUGCCAUGAAGUGAUGGAAUCAGAUGCCAUGAUCUUAGUUUUCUGAAUGUUGAGUUUUAAGCCAACUUUUUCACUCUCCUCUUUCAAUUUCAUCAAGAGGUUCUUUAGUUCUUCUUCACUUUCUUUCAGAUUGGUGGUGUCAUUUGCAUAUCUGAGGUUAUUGAUAUUUCUCCCAGCAAUCUUGAUCCCAGCUUGUGCUUCAUCCAGCCCAGGGUUUCUCAUGAUGUACUCUGCAUAUAAGUUAAAUAAGCAGGGUGACAAUAUACAGCCUUGACGUACUCCUUUUCCUAUUUGGAACCAGUUUGUUGUUCCAUGACCAGUUCUAACUGUUGCUUCUUGACCUGCAUACAGAUUUCUCAGGAAGCAGGCCAGGUGGUCUGGUAUUCCCAUCUCUUGAAGAAUUUUCCACAGUUUGUUGUGAUCCACACAGUCAAAGGCGUUGGCAUAGUCAAUAAAGCAGAAAUAGAUGUUUUUCUGGAACUCUCUUGCUUUUUCGAUGAUCCAGUGGAUGUUGGCAAUUUGAUCUCUGGUUCCUCUGCCUUUUCUAAAACCAGCUUGAAUGUCUGGAAGUUCAUGGUUCACGUAUUGUUGAAGCCUGGCUGGGAGAAUUUUGAGCAUUAUUUUACUAGCGUGUGAGAUGAGUGCAGUUGUGCAGUAGUUUGAGCAUUCUAUGGCAUUGCCUUUCUUAGGGAUUGGAAUGAAAACUGACCUUUUCCAGUCCUGUGGUCACUGCUGAGUUUUCCAAAUUUGCUGGCAUAUUGAGUGUGGUGUUUUCACAGCAUCAUCUUUUAAGAUUUGAAAUAGCUCAACUGGAAUUCCAUCACCUCCACUAGGUUUGUUUGUAGUGAUGUUUCCUAAAGCCCACUUGGCUUCACGUUCCAGGAUGUUUGGCUCUAGGUGGGUGAUCACAUCAUCGUGAUUAUCUAGGUCAUGAAGAUCUUUUUUGUACAGUUCUUCUGUGUAUUGUUGCCAACUCUUCUUAACAGCUUCUGCUUCUGUUAGGUCCAUACCAUUUCUGUCCUUUAUUGAGCCCAUCUUUGCAUGAAAUAUUUCCUUGUUAUUUCUAAUUUUCUUGAAGAGAUCUCUAUUCUUUCUCAUUCUGUUGUUUUCCUCUGUUUCUUUGCACUGAUCACUGAGGAAGGCUUUCUAAUCUCUCCUUGCUAUUCUUUGGAACUCUGCAUUCAAAUGGGUAUAUUUUUCCUUUUCUCCAUUGCUAUUCACUUCUCUUCUUUUCACAGCUAUUUGUAAGGCCUCCUCAGAAAACCAUUUUGCUUUUCUGCAUUUUUUUUUUCCCCUUGGGGAUGGUCUUGAUCCCUGUCUCCUGUACAGUGUCACGAACCUCCAUCCAUAGCUCAUCAGGCACUCUAUCAGAUCUAGUCCCUUUAAUCUAUUUGUAAUUUCCACUGUAUAAUUGUAAGGGACUUGAUUUAGGUCAUACCUGAAUGAUCUAGUGGUUUUCCCUACUUUCUUCAAUUUAAGUCUGAAUUUGGCAAUAAGCAGUUCAUGAUCUGAGUCACAGUCAGCUCCCAGUCUUGUUUUUGCUGACUGUAUAGAGCUUCUCCAUCUUUGGCUGCAAAGAAUAUAAUCAGUCUGAUUUAAGUGUUGACCAUCUGGUGAUAUCCAUGUGUAGAGUCUUCUCUUGUGUUGUUGGAAGAGAGUGUUUGCUAUGACCAGUGCGUUCUCUUGGCAAAAUUCUAUGAGCCUUUGCCCCACUUCCUUCUGUAUUCCAAGGCCAAAUUUGCCUAUUACUCGUGACAUUUCUCGACUCCUACUUUUGCAUUCCAGUCCCCUAUAAUGAAAAGGACAUCUUUUUUGGGUGUUAGUUCUAAAAGGUCUUGUAGUUAUGUCUUCAUAGAACCAUUCAACUUCAGCUUCUUCAACAUUAUUGGUCAGGGCAUAGACUUGGAUUAUCGUGAUAUUGAAAGGUUUGCCUUGGAAAUGAACAGAGAUCAUUCUGUCGUUGAGAUUGCAUCCAAGUACUGCAUUUCAGACUCUUUUGUUGACCAUGAUGGCUACUCCAUUUCUUCUAAGGGAUCCUUGCCCAUAGUAGUAGAUAUAAUGUUCAUCUGAGUUAAAUUCACCCAUUCUAGUCCAUUUUAGUUCACUAAUUCCUAAAAUGUCAACAUUCACUCUUGCCAUCUCCUGUUUGACCACUUCCAAUUUGCCUUGAUUCAUGGACCUACCAUUCUAGCUUUCUAUGCAAUAUUGCUCUUUAUAGCGUCAGACCUGCUUCCAUCACCAGUCAUAUCCACAAAUGGGUGUUGUUUUUUCUUUGGCUCCAUCUCUUCAUUCUUUCUGGAGUUAUUUCUCCACUGAUCUCUAGUAGCAUAUUGAAUCUGAGUAAGACGUGCCAAUGGAGACAGUGGGAGUCAUGGUGAGAAGGAGGAGGUAAAUAUGGGAGAAAAAGAGGAAGGGCUUUCAGACAGAGAUGAAUGCUUAUAAAAACAGUUCAGUUUUACUGUAGUGAAAAGGUCAAGGCUAGAAAGAAGUAGCUUCAAAGUUCACUUAAACUUUCAGUUCUCUGAAAAGCAGAUGGAAGUCAAAGAUAGAAGCUCGAAGUAUAAAGAGCUGGUUCUCACAGGUCUGGAUCUUGAGGGUUCAGUGGACAAAUGCAUCAGGGCAAAGCCUUUGGGCAGAACUGCUCCACGGGGGCCACCACAACCUUUUUAGGAUUCCUGCCCCAUGCUCUCACUCUGCGGCCGUGUGUCUGAGGACAGGAUAUCCUAGUGCUAUUUGUGAAAAUAAAUCCUUUUGGACAAAGGCCACAGCAGACUAAUACUGCCACUCAUAGCCUACAGCAACCCAGUAGCAGGGCGAAUGCCCAGAGAUCAGUGUUGUCAUUUGAUGUCAGCUGUUCAGUGAGAGGUUGGGGAGUAAUGACAAACAGACUUUUGAAAAAAUUAAGUAAUUGUAUUUUCGGCUGUUCUGUGUCUUUGUUACUACAUUCAGGUUACUCUUUAGUUGAGGUGCUCAAGCUUCUCAUUGUGGUGGCUUCUCUUGUUGCAGAACACAGGCUGUAAGCGUGGGCUCAGUAGUUGGGGCUCGUGGGCUUAAUUGCCUCAUGGCAUGUGGGAAUCUUUCUGGACCAGGGAUGAAUCAGUGUCCACUGGACCACCAGGGAAGUCCAAUGAAGAACAGUGUUCAUGCUGAGACUGAUAAGAUGAAAACUUAAUGAUUUGUCAGAGCAGUGAGUCUUUCACAGUGUGGUUCAAGUCAGAGCUAACCCUGAACUAAAAUAAGUGAUAGGCACCGUUCCAAGUGCUCUGAACACAUCAGCCACUUAAAAGUAGAUACCGCUUCCCCCGUUUUAUACAUUAGGAAGCUAGUGCCCAGAGAACACACAUGGCACAGAGCAGACCCACUUUUCAGACUCAGGCCAUCUCGGUUCAGAGUUUAGCUUCCUGAUUGCUACUGUAUUCUGUUUUUCAAAGGGCGGGGAGAAAUGAAAUCUCAUGAAAAUUUCACAACACAUUGGGAAAGAAAAGAAGAAUCCGUCUCAAGAACCUUGGGGGACAAGCCUUAUCCUAUGCCAUUUCCACCCUUGCUUCCUCUGCUGUCACCCUGGCAGCCUUCUCAUAGAUUCUGGAAUGUGCCAGGCUCUUCCUUGCUUCUGAGCCACGAUUCUUGUUGUUACUUCUACCUGGAGUAGUUUUCCCAGUCAAUGCAUGGAUCCUUCUCAUCAUUUAAAUAUGGACUGUGCUACGUUCAGUCACCACUGGAGCAGCUGAAAUGGGAACAACAAAUCACAGAGCAAAAGGACUCUGGAGGAUAUACCUGUAAUUUCUCUGAAAAUUGCUCCCUGCAUCACUCAUAUUCAAAUGAGUAUACGACAAAGUGAAUCAGUUAUACAUCCAUCCACUUUUAAAGCGAGGAGGAGCUUCCUGAUUUGGAAUGCUCUGCAUAAGGCAAAUACCACAGGACAAAGUCUGUGAGAUCAAUCCACACUAGUCUGCCAACUGAUCUUUCAGCUUCCACCAUUCUCCAAUCAGAAGCCAGGAUGAACUUUUAAUUAUAAAUUAGAAUAUGUCAUUCGCUUCCUUGAAACACUUCAAUGGGGGCUUCCCUGGGUGGUCUAGCAGUUAAGAAUCUGACUGCCAAUACAGGGAACACGGGCUCAAUUUCCUGAUCCAGGAAGAUUCCACGUGUCACGGAGCAAGUAAGCCCAUGUACCGCAACUGCUGUGCCCACACAAAUUAGAGCCCUCCUUCGCAACAAGAGAAGACACCACAGUGAGAACCCUGCACGGCCCAACUAUGCGGCAGUCCCCACUCACUGCAGCCAAAGAAAGCCUGUGCGUAGCGACAAAAACCUAGUGGAGCCAAAAAUUAAUCAAAAAAUCUUUAAAAAAAAAAAAAGCCACCUGGAGCAUUCCCAUUUCCUUAGAAUGAAAUAGAAAUUUUCACCAGGGCUUACCCAGACCCACUUCCCCUUUGCCCACCCGUCUUCUCUUCUUCCCACUCUCCCUCUGGUUGACAUACUUUAUUACCAUGUUUCCAACAUGCUCCCUUCAGUCCCACCACCAGAGGAUCUGAAGAAAGCUUCCCUUCUCUGUUGCAAUUUUGUGGGUUUUUCACAUUUGGAUCUCGGCUUAUAAGUCAUCGUCUCAGAGAGGCCCUUUCUGCCUUCUCUGACCAGGCAGAGGAUCAUGUAGGGCACUGAGAAAGCAUUCAACAAUGGUUUAUUAGAUUAGUGAGAAAGGGGAGUGAGAGUGUUUUAUACACUAUUAAGCAUAAAAUGCAUGUGAACAUUUGUGGUUUUUUUUUAAGUAACAAAUACAUGUAAUAAAAUGUACACUAAUAAAUGAGACCGUGUCUUCAUGGUCACUAUGAGAAAAAGACUGCUCUAGACCUUGUAUUCCAUAAGCAUACACUUAAGAUGUGGAGUAAGACGGAGAACACUGGAAAUUAUCUAAUUGUCCAGAAAUGAUAACUAAAAAACACAUUAGCCGCAUGUCUGAGUGUGAAUGCCUGGCGAGUAGGAGGCUUCUUACAGAAGGGAGGUAGAGGCAAGUCUUGAGAUCUGUACAAAGACUGGAUUUACGUUUCAGGAGGUAGUGUGAGGGUGAGGACAAUAAAAUUAUUGUUGCUGAUUUCUUUUUCAUUUUCAUUUCUAUGAAUCAGAAUGUUAGUGUAUAAGCUAUAUAAGUGAAUACGAUUUAAGAUAUUUCAUAAAUAGAGUCCAUUUUUCUUCUCUUGAAAUCAGCGACGUUCUAUUCCCUGGCUAUUAAACGUGCAGGCUGAUCCCCAAGGCGCAGUCAGUACUCUGGGUCCGGCAAACAGCUCGUCUCCUGCUCUCCUUCACCUCCACCAGUCUCAUCAAGAGAGAAUUGUGUUUGUUCCCAAACUUAUGUAUUCAUUUGUACUUAUUUAUAAAUUAAUAAAAUAUGGUUCCAAAAAAAA